AACGCGAAGAACCUUACCAGUCCUUGACAUGUCCACUAUGGGUCUGAGAGAUCAGAUCCUUCACUUCGGGUGGGUGGAACACAGGUGCUGCAUGGCUGUCGUCAGCUCGUGUCGUGAGAUGUUGGGUUAAGUCCCGCAACGAGCGCAACCCUUAUCCCUAGUUGCCAUCGGGUCAAGCCGGGCACUCUAGUGAAACUGCCUCGGAUAACGAGGAGGAAGGUGGGGAUGACGUCAAGUCCUCAUGGCCUUUAUGUCCAGGGCUACACACGUGCUACAAUGGUCGGUACAAACCGUCGCAAACCCGCGAGGGGGAGCUAAUCGGAAAAAGCCGGCCUCAGUUCGGAUUGGAGUCUGCAACUCGACUCCAUGAAGCUGGAAUCGCUAGUAAUCGCGGAUCAGAACGCCGCGGUGAAUACGUUCCCGGGCCUUGUACACACCGGCUAC
rnacentral:rRNA from 1 species